CGGAGGGUGCAAGCGUUAUCCGGAUUUACUGGGUUUAAAGGGUGCGUAGGUGGGUCUGUAAGUCAGUGGUGAAAUCUCCGAGCUUAACUCGGAAACUGCCAUUGAUACUAUAGAUCUUGAAUUAUCUGGAGGUAAGCGGAAUAUGUCAUGUAGCGGUGAAAUGCUUAGAUAUGACAUAGAACACCAAUUGCGAAGGCAGCUUACUACGGAUCAAUUGACACUGAGGCACGAAAGCGUGGGGAUCAAACAGGAUUAGAUACCCUGGUAGUCCACGCCCUAAACGAUGGAUACUCGACAUUUGCGAUAUACUGUAAGUGUCUGAGCGAAAGCAUUAAGUAUCCCACCUGGGAAGUACGAUCGCAAGAUUG
rnacentral:rRNA from 1 species